rnacentral:rRNA from 1 species
UACGGAGGGUGCAAGCGUUUAAUCGGAAUUACUGGGCGUAAAGCGCACGCAGGUGGCUGAGUCAGUCGAUUGUGAAAGCCCUGGGCUUAACCUGGGAAUUGCAGUCGAUACUACUCAGCUAGAGUAUGGGAGAGGGUAGUGGAAUUCCCGGUGUAGCGGUGAAAUGCGUAGAUAUCGGGAGGAACAUCAGUGGCGAAGGGCGGCUACCUGGCCCAAUACUGACACUCAGGUGCGACAGCGUGGGGAGCAAACAGGA